CAGUAGCCGCGGUAAUACAGAGGGUGCGAGCGUUAAUCGGAUUUACUGGGCGUAAAGCGUGCGUAGGCGGCUUCUUAAGUCGGAUGUGAAAUCCCUGAGCUUAACUUAGGAAUUGCAUUCGAUACUGGGAAGCUAGAGUAUGGGAGAGGAUGGUAGAAUUCCAGGUGUAGCGGUGAAAUGCGUAGAGAUCUGGAGGAAUACCGAUGGCGAAGGCAGUUAUCUGGCCUAAUACUGACGCUGAGGUACGAAAGCAUGGGGAGCAAACAGGAUUAGAUACCCGAGUAGUCCCUGUCUCUUAUAC
rnacentral:rRNA from 1 species